ACGCUCGACACCUACGGGAGGAGCAGUGGGGAAUAUUGCACAAUGGGGGAAACCCUGAUGCAGCGACGCCGCGUGAGCGAAGAAGUAUUUCGGUAUGUAAAGCUCUAUCAGCAGGGAAGAAACUGACGGUACCUGACUAAGAAGCACCGGCUAAAUACGUGCCAGCAGCCGCGGUAAUCUGAGGCGGCUGGCAAGGC
rnacentral:rRNA from 1 species